AACGAACGCUGGCGGCAUGCCUAACACAUGCAAGUCGAACGAGACCUUCGGGUCUAGUGGCGCACGGGUGCGUAACGCGUGGGAACCUGCCCUUAGGUUCGGCAUAACUCCCCGAAAGGGGUACUAAUACCGGAUCAUGUCUUCGGCCCAAAGAUUUAUCGACGUUGGAUGGGCCCGCGUUGGAUUAGCUUGUUGGUAGGGUAAAAGCAUACCAAGGCGACGAUCCAUAGCUGGUCAGAGAGAAUGAUCAGCCACACUGAGACGAAGACACGGCCCAGAAUCCUACGGGAGGGAGGAGUGGGGAAUAGUGCACCGCGGGGGAAGGCAUGAUGGAGUAAGGCCGGGUGAGUGAUGAAGGCAUGAGGGUUGUAAAGCGCUUUUACCCGGGAUGAUAAUGACAGUACCGGGAGAAUAAGCCCCGGCUAACUCCGUG
rnacentral:rRNA from 1 species